rnacentral:rRNA from 1 species
UAAGGGCGCACGGUGGAUGCCUUGGCACUAGAAGCCGAUGAAGGACGUUACUAACGACGAUAUGCUUUGGGGAGCUGUAAGUAAGCUUUGAUCCAGAGAUUUCCGAAUGGGGAAACCCAGCAUGAGUUAUGUCAUGUUAUCGAUAUGUGAAUACAUAGCAUAUCAGAAGGCACACCCGGAGAACUGAAACAUCUUAGUACCCGGAGGAAGAGAAAGAAAAUUCGAUUCCCUUAGUAGCGGCGAGCGAAACGGGAAGAGCCCAAACCAACAAGCUUGCUUGUUGGGGUUGUAGGACACUCUAUACGGAGUUACAAAGGACGACAUUAGACGAAUCAUCUGGAAAGAUGAAUCAAAGAAGGUAAUAAUCCUGUAGUCGAAAAUGUUGUCUCUCUUGAGUGGAUCCUGAGUACGACGGAGCACGUGAAAUUCCGUCGGAAUCUGGGAGGACCAUCUCCUAAGGCUAAAUACUCUCUAGUGACCGAUAGUGAACCAGUACCGUGAGGGAAAGGUGAAAAGCACCCCGGAAGGGGAGUGAAAUAGAACCUGAAACCGUGUGCUUACAAGUAGUCAGAGCCCGUUAAUGGGUGAUGGCGUGCCUUUUGUAGAAUGAACCGGCGAGUUACGAUUUGAUGCAAGGUUAAGCAGUAAAUGUGGAGCCGUAGCGAAAGCGAGUCUGAAUAGGGCGUUUAGUAUUUGGUCGUAGACCCGAAACCAG